GUUUGAUCCUGGCUCAGGAUGAACGCUAGCGGCAGGCCUAACACAUGCAAGUCGAGGGGUAGAGUUAGCUUGCUAAUUUGAGACCGGCGCACGGGUGCGUAACGCGUAUGCAAUCUACCUUGUACAGGGGAAUAGCCCAGAGAAAUUUGGAUUAAUGCCCCAUAGUAUCUCCGAGUGGCAUCACUUGGUUAUUAAAGUUCCAACGGUACAAGAUGAGCAUGCGUCCCAUUAGCUAGUUGGUGUGGUAACGGCACACCAAGGCUAUGAUGGGUAGGGGUCCUGAGAGGGAGAUCCCCCACACUGGUACUGAGACACGGACCAGACUCCUACGGGAGGCAGCAGUGAGGAAUAUUGGUCAAUGGACGCAAGUCUGAACCAGCCAUGCCGCGUGCAGGAUGACUGCCCUAUGGGUUGUAAACUGCUUUUGUACGGGAAGAAACACUCCUUCGUGAAGGAGCUUGACGGUACCGUAAGAAUAAGGAUCGGCUAACUCCGUGCCAGCAGCCGCGGUAAUACGGAGGAUCCAAGCGUUAUCCGGAAUCAUUGGGUUUAAAGGGUCCGUAGGCGGCCCUGUAAGUCAGUGGUGAAAUCUCCCGGCUCAACCGGGAAACUGCCAUUGAUACUGCAGGGCUUGAAUUAUUGGGAAGUAACUAGAAUAUGUAGUGUAGCGGUGAAAUGCUUAGAUAUUACAUGGAAUACCGAUUGCGAAGGCAGGUUACUACCAAUACAUUGACGCUGAUGGACGAAAGCGUGGGGGGCGAACAGGAUUAGAUACCCUGGUAGUCCACGCCGUAAACGAUGGAUACUAGCUGUUCGGCAGCAAUGCUGAGUGGCUAAGCGAAAGUGAUAAGUAUCCCACCUGGGGAGUACGUUCGCAAGAAUGAAACUCAAAGGAAUUGACGG
rnacentral:rRNA from 1 species